rnacentral:rRNA from 1 species
GACAGAGGGUGCAAACGUUGCUCGGAAUCACUGGGCGUAAAGGGCGUGUAGGCGGGAAGGAUAGUCAGAUGUGAAAUCCCUGGGCUCAACCCAGGAACUGCAUUUGAAACUCCCUUUCUUGAGUGUCGGAGAGGAAAGCGGAAUUCCUGGUGUAGAGGUGAAAUUCGUAGAUAUCAGGAGGAACACCGGUGGCGAAGGCGGCUCACUGGCCCGGUACUGACGCUGAGGCACGAAAGCGUGGGGAGCGAACAGG